rnacentral:lncRNA from 1 species
CAUUCUCCCUCGUCGAGUUCUUCACCUGCCGUCUUUAAAUAUUACUUUUUGUUUUAUAGCAACGUAGUUAUCAAACAUAUAUUUUACCUUUUUACUUUUACUCAAUGAUAAAAAUUUAAAAAAUAAAAAUAUUUUUUAUAAAUUAAAAAUCAAAAAUCAAAAAGUGCAACCAAAUGAUCUUCACUGUACUGAUUCUUGCAAGCCAUUGAG